rnacentral:rRNA from 1 species
GACGAACGCUGGCGGCGUGCCUAAUACAUGCAAGUAGAACGCUGAAGGAGGAGCUUGCUUCUCUGGAUGAGUUGCGAACGGGUGAGUAACGCGUAGGUAACCUGCCUGGUAGCGGGGGAUAACUAUUGGAAACGAUAGCUAAUACCGCAUAAGAGUAGAUGUUGCAUGACAUUUGCUUAAAAGGUGCAAUUGCAUCACUACCAGAUGGACCUGCGUUGUAUUAGCUAGUUGGUGAGGUAACGGCUCACCAAGGCAACGAUACAUAGCCGACCUGAGAGGGUGAUCGGCCACACUGGGACUGAGACACGGCCCAGACUCCUACGGGAGGCAGCAGUAGGGAAUCUUCGGCAAUGGACGGAAGUCUGACCGAGCAACGCCGGGUGAGUGAAGAAGGUUUUCGGAUCGGAAAGCUCUGUUGUAAGAGAAGAACGAGUGUGAGAGUGGAAAGUUCACACUGUGACGGUAUCUUACCAGAAAGGGACGGCUAACUACGUG